rnacentral:rRNA from 1 species
CUACGGGCGGCAGCAGUGGGGAAUAUUGCACAAUGGGCGCAAGCCUGAUGCAGCCAUGCCGCGUGUAUGAAGAAGGCCUUCGGGUUGUAAAGUACUUUCAGCGGGGAGGAAGGGAGUAAAGUUAAUACCUUUGCUCAUUGACGUUACCCGCAGAAGAAGCACCGGCUAACUCCGUGCCAGCAGCCGCGGUAAUACGGAGGGUGCAAGCGUUAAUCGGAAUUACUGGGCGUAAAGCGCAUGCAGGCGGUUUGUUAAGUCAGAUGUGAAAUCCCCGGGCUCAACCUGGGAACUGCAUCGGAUACUGGCAAGCUUGAGUCUCGUAGAGGGGGGUAGAAUUCCAGGUGUAGCGGUGAAAUGCGUAGAGAUCUGGAGGAAUACCGGUGGCGAAGGCGGCCCCCUGGACGAAGACUGACGCUCAGGUGCGAAAGCGUGGGGAGCAAACAGGAUUAGAUACCCGCGUAGUC